UUGAAUUUUUAACAUGGAAGGAGCAAUCAGAUGAACAGUUCAUAUUUGCAAAGUAGCAGAGUCUGUUAGACAUGUCUUUCUUUUUUGACCUCUACAUCAAAACUCAUAUAUCAAAGUAGCAGUCUGUUGGACAUAUAUGCCCUUAUGGACUGACUUUCUGUACACUAGGACUGUUGGAAUUUCACGUGAUCGGUUUGCAAUCAGACGAACAGUUGAUGUUAGCAUUAUUAAGAUGUAAGCAGCAAGGCCAGUUUACAAGUAUUUGCUAAUAACCUAAGGCUGUUGGACAUGUCUUUCUUUUUUUUAUAGUUACAUAUGGGGAAUCCACACAGCAAGCCAACGGAGCAGACGACAUCGUCACAUGUACCUCCAGGUACAUGUCCAACUAUAAAUUGUGCUGUACAUGUCAAGCACCAUCACAGGAGACUGAAUGUGUUGCAGACCCGAUGGAUGGGACAAAUGUUGACGACUAUAACCCAGAUAUUAUACCCGUAGGCAACGAAGUUGACAAUAUUUACCCAAGUAGUCCAGGUUUUAAGGCUGUGCAAAUAUACAUAGCUUAAUUCUAUGUGUUUUAUGUGAUCAAUCAUACCUAACAGACUUGUGACUUGUAGGAGUCCAUAUUACUCCAUCUGAACGGAUCAUACUUGAACAGACCGAUGGUGAUAGCACAUAUGUGCAUCAACCUUCCCAUCUGAUUUCGGACAACCCUCCGAUCUCAUUCCUAUAUAAUGGAGAUUCGUUGCCGGCUCCCAGUAAUCUGACACGAAAUUAUGCGACAGAUGUACCACAAAGUUCAAAUGGUAUUACCUCAUACAUCUUGGACACGAACGCUUCUUCUGCACCGGAGAAGGAGGCACAGGUUCAUCUUUGAUCCCUGGACACAAACGCUUCGUUCCUGCAAGUAAGUAGAAUGUGUUUUCAGCUCGCUCCUACACAACUUGAGGCCUUGCACGUCUGAGUGGGGCGCCCAG